rnacentral:rRNA from 1 species
ACGCACGCUGGCGGCAUGCCUCACCCCUGCAAGUCGAACGCGACCUUCGGGUCUAGUGGCGCACGGGUGCGUAACGCGUGGGAACCUGCCCUUAGGUUCGGAAUAACUCCCCGAAAGGGGUGCUAAUACCGGAUAAUGUCUUCGGACCAAAGAUUUAUCGCCUUUGGAUGGGCCCGCGUUGGAUUAGCUAGUUGGUAGGGUAAAAGCCUACCAAGGCGACGAUCCAUAGCUGGUCUGAGAGGAUGAUCAGCCACACUGGGACUGAGACACGGCCCAGACUCCUACGGGAGGCAGCAGUGGGGAAUAUUGGACAAUGGGCGAAAGCCUGAUCCAGCAAUGCCGCGUGAGUGAUGAAGGCCUUAGGGUUGUAAAGCUCUUUUACCCGGGAUGAUAAUGACAGUACCGGGAGAAUAAGCUCCGGCUAACUCCGUG